CUGCACAGAGUCUCCCGGGCUUCUCUGAAGUUAAUUCUGAAUGAUUUUGCAAGCCCCAAAACUCGUGCUAAAACUGUGCCGUUUAGUGUUGCAGUUUAGUCUCUGUACAUUUUAUUUCCAUGGCUGAUCUGUGUCAAACCAACGGCUAAAUUU